rnacentral:rRNA from 1 species
AUUUAAAUAAUGUUUGGUCUUGGCUUUAGGUUAAUGUUCAUCGUUCUUGUGACACAUUGGUACUAUAUGGGUAGUGGGAGUAUGAGAUUUGAAGAAUAGAAUUUAAUAUUCUGUUUAGGGAUAAUCUAUGAAUGCAACUAUUAGAUUAUUAUCAAAGAUGGUUAAAUAGUUUUCCCGGCACCAGUGGAGAAUAUUACAGAAAUUCAGAAAUGAAGAUGUUGGGUAGAUGAUAGUAGGAGGGUAAGCACAGUGCCAGCACCUGCGGUUAAACUGACUCCUAAAAUUAAUCUGUUCGUAGGAAAGAAUUGGUUUAAUUUUGCACUAUUGCUUGCGGGAUGUCUUGUAAAAUGGGUUACGUUGGUGAGUAAGGAGUUCAAGAAGCUAAAAUCUUAAAAGUCUGCUGCUGGAGACCGGGAUUAGAGACCCCGUUAUUUAUGAUGUAUUUUUAUCUGCGGCGAGUACGAGCAAAAGAGCUUAGAAACCAAAAGACUUGGCGGUGUACUAUAUUCGUUCAGGGGAACUUGACGGUUAAAUCGAUAGUCCUCGAAUACCUUACCUUUUUAAUUCUUGCUAUACCGCCGUUGCCAGUUUAAAUUUUAAAAUUAAAGAUUUUUGCAUAAAAAGUAGGAAAUCCUACUUUGGAAUUCAGGUAAACGUAGUGGAUAUAAAAAGGGCUUAGUUGAGUUACAGUGUUAUAUUGGGGAAAAAAGCUGCAAUGCUUUAUAGAACUUGGACUUGAUAGUAAGCUUUGAUAAGAGAGAGAAGCUGAAUGGUACAAUGGUGCGUGUACAAAUUGCCCGGUGCCCCCGGAUAAACAAGCUGGGGUAAGCCGUAACAUGGUAACGCUACUAGAAAGUGGCGUUAUUUAAAGAUA